rnacentral:rRNA from 1 species
AUUGAACGCUGGCGGCAGGCUUAACACAUGCAAGUCGAGCGAGCGGCGGACGGGUGAGUAAUGUCUGGGACACUGCCUGAUGGCGGGGGAUAACUACUGGAAACGUUAGCUAAUACCGCAUACCAUCAGAUGUGCCCAGAUGGGAUUAGCUAGUAGUUGGGGUAAUGGCUCACCUAGGCGACGAGCCCUAGCUGGUCUGAGAGGAUGACCAGCCACACUGGAACUGAGACACGGUCCAGACUCCUACGGGAGGCAGCAGUGGGGAAUAUUGCACAAUGGGCGCAAGCCUGAUGCAGCCAUGCCGCGUGUGUGAAGAAGGCCUUCGGGUUGUAAAGCACUGUCAGCGAGGAGGCGUUACUCGCAGAAGAAGCAACGGCUAACUCCGUGCCAGCAGCCGCGGUAAUAC